rnacentral:rRNA from 1 species
AGAGUUUGAUCAUGGCUCAGAUUGAACGCUGGCGGCAGGCCUAACACAUGCAAGUCGAACGGUAACAGGAAGCAGCUUGCUGCUUCGCUGACGAGUGGCGGACGGGUGAGUAAUGUCUGGGAAGCUGCCUGAUGGAGGGGGAUAACUACUGGAAACGGUAGCUAAUACCGCAUAAUGUCGCAAGACCAAAGAGGGGGACCUUCGGGCCUCUUGCCAUCGGAUGUGCCCAGAUGGGAUUAGCUUGUUGGUGGGGUAACGGCUCACCAAGGCGACGAUCCCUAGCUGGUCUGAGAGGAUGACCAGCCACACUGGAACUGAGACACGGUCCAGACUCCUACGGGAGGCAGCAGUGGGGAAUAUUGCACAAUGGGCGCAAGCCUGAUGCAGCCAUGCCGCGUGUAUGAAGAAGGCCUUCGGGUUGUAAAGUACUUUCAGCGGGGAGGAAGGGAGUAAAGUUAAUACCUUUGCUCAUUGACGUUACCCGCAGAAGAAGCACCGGCUAACUCCGUGCCAGCAGCCGCGGUAAUACGGAGGGUGCAAGCGUUAAUCGGAAUUACUGGGCGUAAAGCGCACGCAGGCGGUUUGUUAAGUCAGAUGUGAAAUCCCCGGGCUCAACCUGGGAACUGCAUCUGAUACUGGCAAGCUUGAGUCUCGUAGAGGGGGGUAGAAUUCCAGGUGUAGCGGUGAAAUGCGUAGAGAUCUGGAGGAAUACCGGUGGCGAAGGCGGCCCCCUGGACGAAGACUGACGCUCAGGUGCGAAAGCGUGGGGAGCAAACGGGAUUAGAUACCCUGGUAGUCCACGCCGUAAACGAUGUCGACUUGGAGGUUGUGCCCUUGAGGCGUGGCUUCCGGAGCUAACGCGUUAAGUCGACCGCCUGGGGAGUACGGCCGCAAGGUUAAAACUCAAAUGAAUUGACGGGGGCCCGCACAAGCGGUGGAGCAUGUGGUUUAAUUCGAUGCAACGCGAAGAACCUUACCUGGUCUUGACAUCCACGGAAGUUUUCAGAGAUGAGAAUGUGCCUUCGGGAACCGUGAGACAGGUGCUGCAUGGCUGUCGUCAGCUCGUGUUGUGAAAUGUUGGGUUAAGUCCCGCAACGAGCGCAACCCUUAUCCUUUGUUGCCAGCGGUCCGGCCGGGAACUCAAAGGAGACUGCCAGUGAUAAACUGGAGGAAGGUGGGGAUGACGUCAAGUCAUCAUGGCCCUUACGACCAGGGCUACACACGUGCUACAAUGGCGCAUACAAAGAGAAGCGACCUCGCGAGAGCAAGCGGACCUCAUAAAGUGCGUCGUAGUCCGGAUUGGAGUCUGCAACUCGACUCCAUGAAGUCGGAAUCGCUAGUAAUCGUGGAUCAGAAUGCCACGGUGAAUACGUUCCCGGGCCUUGUACACACCGCCCGUCACACCAUGGGAGUGGGUUGCAAAAGAAGUAGGUAGCUUAACCUUCGGGAGGGCGCUUACCACUUUGUGAUUCAUGACUGGGGUGAAGUCGAAACAAGGUA